rnacentral:rRNA from 1 species
AUUGAACGCUGGCGGCAGGCCUAACACAUGCAAGUCGAACGAGUGGCGGACGGGUGAGUAAUGUCUGGGAAACUGCCCGAUGGAGGGGGAUCACUACUGGAAACGGUAGCUAAUACCGCAUACACUCGGAUGUGCCCAGAUGGGAUUAGCUAGUAGGUGGGGUCACGGCUCACCUAGGCGACGAUCCCUAGCUGGUCUGAGAGGAUGACCCGCCACACGGGAACUGAGACACGGUCAAGACUCCUACGGGAGGCAGCAGUGGGGAAUAUUGGACAAUGGGCGCAAGCCUGAUGCAGCCAUGCCGCGUGUAUGAAGAAGGCCUUCGGGUUGUAAAGUACUUUCAGCGGGGAGGCGUUACUCGCAGAAGAAGCACCGGCUAACUCCGUGCCAGCAGCCGCGGUAAUAC